GUUGAACGCUGGCGGCAGGCUUAACACAUGCAAGUCGAACGGGCGGCGGACGGGUGAGUAAGUUAUUCGGAUCUACCUGAUGGCGGGGGAUAACUUCUGGAAACGUUAGCUAAUACCGCAUACCAUCCGAUGAAACCAUAUGGGAUUAGCUUGUAGGUGAGGUAACGGCUCACCUAGGCGACGAUCCCUAGACGGUCUGAGAGGAUGAACAGCCACACUGGGACUGAGACACGGCCCAGACUCCUACGGGAGGCAGCAGUGGGGAAUAUUGCGCAAUGGGGGCAAGCCUGACGCAGCCAUGCCGAGUGAAUGAAGAAGGCCUUCGGGUUGUAAAGAUCUUUCGGUAGCGAGGCGUUAACUACAGAAGAAGCACCGGCUAACUACGUGCCAGCAGCAGCGGUAAUAC
rnacentral:rRNA from 1 species